rnacentral:rRNA from 1 species
CCUACGGGUGACAGCAGUGAGGAAUAUUGGUCAAUGGACGAGAGUCUGAACCAGCCAAGUAGCGUGAAGGAUGACUGCCCUAUGGGUUGUAAACUUCUUUUAUAUGGGAAUAAAAUGUUCCACGUGUGGGUUUUUGUAUGUACCAUAUGAAUAAGGAUCGGCUAACUCCGUGCCAGCAGCCGCGGUAAUACGGAGGAUCCGAGCGUUAUCCGGAUUUAUUGGGUUUAAAGGGAGCGUAGGUGGAUGGUUAAGUCAGUUGUGAAAGUUUGCGGCUCAACCGUAAAAUUGCAGUUGAAACUGGCAGUCUUGAGUACAGUAGAGGUGAGCGGAAUUCGUGGUGUAGCGGUGAAAUGCUUAGAUAUCACGAAGAACUCCGAUUGCGAAGGCAGCUCACUGGACUGCAACUGACACUGAGGCUCGAAAGUGUGGGUAUCAAACAGGAUUAGAUACCCCGGUAGUC